GCUGGGCGCAGGGCCCACGCCUGUAAUCCCAGCAGCUCGGGAGGCUGAGGCAGGGGGAUGGAGAGUUUAAAGCCAGCCUCAGCAAAAGGGAGGUGCUAAGCCACUCAGUGAGCCCCUGUCUCUA
rnacentral:sRNA from 1 species